UACAGAGGUCUCAAGCGUUGUUCGGAAUCACUGGGCGUAAAGCGUGCGUAGGCUGUUUCGUAAGUCGUGUGUGAAAGGCGCGGGCUCAACCCGCGGACGGCACAUGAUACUGCGAGACUAGAGUAAUGGAGGGGGAACCGGAGUUCUCGGUGUAGCAGUGAAAUGCGUAGAUAUCGAGAGGAACACUCGUGGCGAAGGCGGGUUCCUGGACAUUAACUGACGCUGAGGCACGAAGGCCAGGGGAGCGAAAGGG
rnacentral:rRNA from 1 species